rnacentral:rRNA from 1 species
GAUGAACGCUGGCGGCGUGCCUAAUACAUGCAAGUCGAGCGAACAGACGAGAGUGCUUGCACUCUCUGACGUUAGCGGCGGACGGGUGAGUAACACGUGGGUAACCUACCUAUAAGACUGGGAUAACUUCGGGAAACCGGAGCUAAUACCGGAUAAUAUUUAGCUUCGCAUGAAGCAAUAGUGAAAGACGGUUCUGCUGUCACUUAUAGAUGGACCCGCGGUGUAUUAGCUAGUUGGUGAGGUAACGGCUCACCAAGGCAACGAUACAUAGCCGACCUGAGAGGGUGAUCGGCCACACUGGGACUGAGACACGGCCCAGACUCCUACGGGAGGCAGCAGUAGGGAAUCUUCCGCAAUGGACGAAAGUCUGACGGAGCAAUGCCGCGUGAGUGAAGAAGGUUUUCGGAUCGUAAAACUCUGUUGUCAGGGAAGAACAAGUACGUUAGUAACUGAACGUACCUUGACGGUACCUUACCAGAAAGCCACGGCUAACUACGUG